UUUUUUUUAUUUUUUUAGAAUUUAUUACAUUUUAUUGGGUUACAGCCUCAGACUUAUUCAUGGAUGCUCAUUCAACUAUUGCUUGUGGACCAUGAUGUCAACUAAUAAAAUACCUUUAAAAAUUAUCCAUAGGGGCACCUGGGUGGCUAAGUCACUUAGGUGGGUAAGCAUCUGUCUUUGGUUCAGCUCAUGAUCUCAGGUCCUAGGAUAGAGCCGGUGUUGGGCUCCUUGCUCAGUAGGAAGUCUGCUUCUUCCUCUCCCUCUGCCCCCCACCUCACUUGUGCGUUCUCUCUCUCUCUCUCUCUCAAAUGAAUAAAUAAAUUGUAAAAAUAAGAUUAAAAUAAUAAAGAUUAUCUAUAAGUAAUACCACCACCACCAUUUUAGAACUUGAAAAAAUUACUAGUUUCCAUUCUCUACGUAAUUUUAAUUUACAACUAUAGGUUUUGAUAGUACUCCUAUUAGAAGAUUAAUUAAAAACAAAACAAAAUCCUGAUGUAACAAAUUUUAUUUGAAAAAAAAAAGUCUCUAUUUAGCUAAGCAAAGAUGUUAAUAUGUCUUUAGUCAUCCUUGUUCUGUAUUACAAUCAAGUCUUGUAAAAAGAGCAAUAAGAAUGAGUGAGACUUACCAAUAUACAGCCUUUCCCUACAAGAUGAUUAAUGGCUGGAGGAUGAAAAGUGUCAAACCCCUCAGGACUUCCCUAAAAGGAAAAGAAAAAGGGAAGGGAAUUCACAUUUUUGGUAACUAUUUGAUGCUGGCGAGAUAAAUCUAAGUCAGCUGAUGAGAUAAAAAAUGGAAAGCAAUAAUAGACACCUUAUAGAUUAAUGAAACUGACUAAUUAAUGCUAAGAAAUAAUACCAUCAAAAGGGUAUCCUUGGUAUAAAGUAUUGUAACCCAUUACAUUUAAAGAAUGGAUAUAAUUCCUAAGUUUUUCUCUGAUGAUAUAAUAAUCAGGCUAUAGGAUAUUAAUUUGAUUAACCACAAACCCAUUUUCUUUCCUUGAAAUGACAAUUUACCUUAUUAAAACAUAUUUUUUUCAAUUUUUAUAUGGUCUUUAAAUCUGUUUUUUCUUUUUUAUGUUGCAUAAGAAAAUGAGCCACUCACAACUUUUUUCUGUUAUGUUACUUGUUAUUCAGAUAUGUAUUCUCAUAGAUUCAGAAAACACCAUCUAUCAAAUUAUACUUAUAAGCUAUAGAACUCUUGUCCCACAUCCAAGUGCCUGUUGGACUCUAGAACAGUUAACAACUUCAAAUUAACAGCACAGCACUAAACAAAAUAUUUGAGGCCAUAACUAUAAUAAACUAUAAUGUACAUAAAAACCCUUUAAUAUAUCAGGAUAGAAAAUAUGCAAGUCCAUAGCUGAAUAUUGACCAGAUAAGUGAAGCUCAAAGAAAAGUCAUAUAUAGUUAAUAUGUCACCUAAUAUCACAUAUUUAACAACAUAAAAUUGAAUUCGGUAACAAAGAUCAGGUGGUUCCAUCAGCUGUUUAAUGAUUAUGUGGUAAUUUGCUACUGAGAUCUAAAGAGAAAUCUGCAAAAUUUCUGCCAUUUACUGACCACAGAGAAGUGGGCAUUUAGAGUUCAUCAUGAUUUCUCACAUCUGAUCCAAAUGUCCCCUCCUACACACACUGAAGCGUCUCUUCCUAGAAUGUCCCCUUACUACCUAUUCAAACAUUAUUCAUUCUUUCCAAACCACUCUAAACUCACCUCAUCAAUGGAGGCUUAAUUUUUUUGCAUUCAGAGGCUUGUUCCAAUACUAAUACAUAUUCCAUCAUAUAUUUUUCACAUACAUGCCUUCUUUCCUCACCUAAGUGUUUAGUUUAUUAGAACAGAAAUCAUGCUCUACAUUUCUGUGUGUAUUCAGAAAGUCAGAUUCUAGUAGAAUCCUAACCACUCAGCAUGGAAAAAAAAUAUAUAUGUUUUCAUUACUUAGUAAUUGGUGAGUCUUUCUACAUGCACUAUAUCUGAAGUGGUUAAUCUCAAAAAUUCCAUUGAGAGAUCAAGAAAUGACUUUAGGUUUUGAAGAGAGGAACUGCUAGUCUGUCUUGUUUGACAAACACUUCUUGCUCAGGACUAAAGAAACAAUAUCAGAAUUAUUUUAUUUUCUACAUGCCUUUAGUGGAUAAUGUUAAAAUCUUACAAGGUAUUGCUAUAACCUUCUGCUAAACUUUCAAAGAAUUUAGGAUCUAAAAAACCUAAUCAAAAUAACAUUGAGUUGUUAUGUGCCAGAUGUGUGCCUCAUCUAUACGUAUAUAUGUGUGUGUAUAUAUAUUAUGUUGAUAAUUUCUUUUCAUAUGUAAAUACAAACUAAUAAGGGAGAAACUACUGUUAAUUUCCCUUCUUUUCAGAUGAGGAACCUGAAACAGAAAAAUAUUGAGUUACUUCCCCAAAGCCUGCUAGUCAGUAAAUGGUAAAGAUGGGAUUUAAAUGCAAGCAGUGACUCAGAGCCUUUCAUAUUAACUUCAAUAAUAUGCUACCUUGUCUACAAGUCACAAAUGCUAGAUAAAUGAGAAGAGAAUGCCAGAAGGAAGGAAUGAGAUAGUUCAGUGUCAAAAUGUGAAGCUGACAUUUUUAAAAAGCCAGUAGCAAUUCCUAAAGCAUCUACUUUUCACACCCCUCCCCCCAUACCCCGGGGAGUCUUAGAAUCAAUGUUUUCAGGUAAAUGAGUCAAAAAGUUAUAGAACUUUAAUCUUGAUAUAGAAAUGUAUUUAAAAGUUUAGAAAAAAUAAACUUUCUUAGAUAUUUCAUGGGCACUCAACAUUAUCAAACGUCUUUUAUAUUAUAAUUUAAACUGUGCAAUUUAAAGUAAGAUUUAAAAUAGCUUUUAAAUUUGAUCUGUACUUUUACCUCUCUGUUCUUGAACAACUUAAGCAUUUUUAUAUUACCAUUAACAAAUACAGCAUAUGUAAGAGCUGAGUAUAAUUUUGAGCUUUUAGUGCUACAAAUUUCACAUUUCCCUAAAGGAGUCCUUUUCCCUAAAGCAUGCACAUUUCAUAGAAUAAAGUAAUAUUUAAUAAUGGUAGUGUUCAAAAUUAUGCAUGAAGAUACUCUUACUCUUUCUUUCUAGAAGCUGAUUAACAAGUUAUUAUGUCUUAUAAAAAACAUUUUCCUGAGAUUUAUAGUAUGCACUUAACUGUGAGGUAGAUAUCUUUGACAGAAUCCUCCUGUUUAAAGAUAAGGAAAAAUGGGUCUCAAGCAUGUUGAAUCACUGUCCAAUGUUACUCAAGUUGUUCUUAGAAGAGCUUGGGUUUUUUCCUUUGUCCUUUGAAACCAGGUUUCAUGUUGUUUCUUUUUGUUGUAUUUCUUUUGUGUACCAUUGUCAUCAUUUUCUUACACUUCAUAUUGGCUUUUACUUUUCACAGAAAAAGUGAAUAACAGACUCUCUCUCUCACACACACACAAAAUCAAGUAUGUUGUUCAAAAAUAUGCCAUUUGUGUUUAAGCCAUAAUUUACAUAAGAUCUGCCAUUAUAAAUUUAGAAGCUCACGAACUAUUCCUUGUGUGCACUAAUCAUUUUUUUAAAAAAAUUCUGUGAGCAUCAGUGUUACAAAUUAAAUCCUAUCUGAUGGUCACUAAUUUUAAAUCUUAGAACACUAAGGAUGAUUUUAAAAUAUGUUAUAAACAGAGGUGCCUGUGUGGCUCAGUCAUUUAGGCAUCUGACUCUCCAUCUCAGCUCAGGUCAUAAUCUCAUGUCAUGAGACUGAGCCCCGGGUCAGGCUGCACACUCAGAAGGGGGUCUACUUGGGCUUCUCUUCCUUUCCUCUCUUUCUCUCUCAAAUAAAAUUUCUUAAAAAAUCUUUUAAAAAUUGUUAUGUACACCAAUAGUUAAGGAGACCCAUAAUAUUGUGAAAGGGGAAAAUAUAUAAAGUAAGCCUUCUAUGAAAUAAAUUAUAGAGAUGAGGGAAUUUCUGAGGGUUAUAAAGGUACACAAUAAUAAAAAAUAUGUGCACUUCUUUUGAAGGUUCUUUAGUCUCUAGUAAUAAUUCUGUGAACAGAAAUGAAAGAUACAUUGCUUAAUAAAAUAUAUGUGUAAUGAAAAGACAAAUAUAAUGUUUCCAUAAAAGACUGUAAAAUAUAAUCAAGAAAGCAACUGGCCUCAUCCACAGGAAAAGCUAAAAACAGCUCUAUAUUUCAGUGAAAUUCUUUCUAAUAUAAUACUCAGUAUUAUUCAGCCUCUACUCCUCCCUCUAAAUCAUUUCUUCAGUCUCACUAUAAGCCCCCGUGCCUGAGUCCUCCAAGUGUAGCUCAGUAUCCUCCCUUUUUCCUCCUACCCUUCCAGGUUGGCCUCAGGUCAAUGUCUUCAUACACCCUCUCACCAAAACCCUCGUUACCUGGCCUUCCUGCAUUCUCAAAAUCACUAGACUAGCACAACUAUCCUUUUCUUCCAUUCUAGACCUUCUUUCUCCUAACACUGACAAUCUGAAAUUCUUACAAACAAAAUGCCUGAUUAAUGCUUUCUUUAUUAAGAAUAAUGUACUUUGUCCAAAAAUUUGGGUUGGAAAAGGAUUAGUGAGUUUAUAGCAGCAUGAUGACAUACUUCUGACAAUUAACUGUAGAGCUUUGCCCAAGAAUCAGAAAGCCUAGAUCUUCAUUUGUCUGUAUUUAAAAGGUAAGAGGAGAUGCAUGCCCACCUAAAUUGUGGGGUGGAAUAUGCUUUACCAAUGAUAAUUUCAGAUUAUUUUUUUUAGACUUAUUUAUUUAUUUAUUUGAGAGAGAGAGAGAGAGGGGGGGGCAAGGAGCAGAGGGAGAAGGAGAGAGACACAUAAGCAGAUUCCCCAGUGAGCAUGGAGGUGGACUCGGGGCUUGAUAUCACGAUCCUUAGAUCACUACCCAAGCCGAAACCAAGAGCUGGACAAUUAUCAGACUGUGCCACCCAGGUACCUCCCCCCUUUUAAAAGAUGUAUUUACUUUUUUGAGACAGAGUGAUCAUUUCAGAUUCUUGCUAGCAUGUAAUCUAAAAUAAACUACACUGUUAGAUAUUCGUAAAUGGCAGCUGGCAGCACACCCACUGCUACUCACAUUGCGUAUCUUCCAAAAAUAUCCAGAAAUAGAUAUUUUAAAAACAUGAUAAUUUACUAAUUCUUUUGAUAAGAACCAGAGGAGGAUAGGGCCAGCAGUGUACAUAUUAGUGACAUCUCUGCUUUCUAAGACAAAUGUGCAUCACUUUCCUUGACGCUGUGAGUCCCAAAUGGUAUCUGAUUGAUAGCAAGAUGAUAACUGCAAUGUUAUCACCAUGCCUAACUCACUGAUGUUUCUGACUGACAGGUGUAGCUAACAGUUCUAAGGCUCAUUUCUUUGCUGAACACCAAUGUUAUCACCAUUUAGGCAUCACAGCAGAUGAUACCCCAUUGUAAAAUGAGUCAACCAUAUAGAUAUCGAAUAGCAGCAGAAGAUAGUUAUGUAUGUUUAAGAAAUGUGACCAGGAUUCCAUGAACCAUACAAAUUUUUUGAAAUAGGAAAUUGAUAUAUUUACUUUAUAAUUAGUAGAUAAUUUAAUUAAGAUAAGUUUCCCAUGGGAAUAGACUAAUAAUAUUUGAAAGAGCAACAAUUUUUGCUGUGUUGGAAAGUGUGCUAAUUAUCUUACAUACAGAAAGAUAAUUUGUUUAAAAAAGAUGUUUUGUUUUGUUAAACUGCAACUGUAGUAGCUAAAAAAUAAUUACACUGAAAAGGACUCUAAAGACUGCUCCAAUAUCUCAAAAGAAAAAGAAAGCAAACAAAUGAAACACUUGUAAACUUCAUACCCUAUAUAACUAUAACUCUUCUCCAUUCUCUUCUCUGUUGUGCCCUCGCAAAACAAAUGGUUUACCUUUACUAACUCUACUUCCAAAUGUUCUCUUCAGAGAAGGAAGGUGGGAGGAUGGGGUGACUGGGUGAAAGGCACCAAGGAGGGCACUUGAUGUGAUGAGCACUGGGUAUUAUACUAUAUGUUGGCAAACUGAAUUUAAAUUAAAAAAAAAAAAAAAA
rnacentral:lncRNA from 1 species